UCUAUUUUAAUGGAAGAAAGGGCCCACGAAAGCAUAAGUCAUGAUGUGACCAGGCAGUAAGGCCUCCCUCCUCAGGAGCUGACCUGGUGCGGAGGCUGGAGGCCGGGUCUCACUCCGCAGCCAGAUGAUGAAACUUAGGCUCAGCGCCCUGCCAAGGAAGCAACCAGCCAAGGCCACCCGAGGACCCAAUUCACAGGAAGCCCGCAAGCCCGGAAGUCCCAUGCUGUUGCUCCAUGCUGCCGCCCAGUGGUGAGUUUGGGAACAGACCCUGAUGUGUUAGGUCUGUCAGAUGCCCUGGAGUCCGGGGUCCUGAAGACUGGUGUUUAGUUCCAUGGAUGCCCUGAACCUGACCUCGGUGGCCUCCUCUGACCAUUUGUGCUCUGGUUUUCCAGAACUUGCUGCUGUGCCCUCCCUGGAGGCACCCAGGUACCCAGAACCCAAUCCUUAGGGUUUCUUUUGGCUCCUGACCUGGAUUUCUGGAAACUGAGAAUUUCCUCCCCUGGGAUCCAUCAUCUGACAUCAUCACUGCCCCCACGCUCGGGGAGCCUCCUCCUCAGAACCUAAGAGGCCCGAGACAAAGGCCGGAGGAAAGAGUUCCAAACAAGGAGGUGAGAGGUCAGGCUUCGGUUCUGCCACUGACCCAGAGCACCAAAUCCAAACCAACCCAAUAAAAUGGCAGAGCUGAA